rnacentral:rRNA from 1 species
CUCCGGUGAUCCUGCCGGACCCGACUGCUAUCGGAUUGAGAUUUAGCCAUGCGAGUCGAACGUCCCCCUGUUGCGGGGGGCGUGGCGUACGGCUCAGUAACACGUAGUCAACCUGCCCUGGAGACAAGGACAACCCCGGGAAACUGGGAUUAAUCCUUGAUAGGUCAUCUCAUCUGGAAGGAGAGAUGGCUUAAAGGGGUACGCGGGCUUCUUCCGCGAAUCUGCUCCAGGAUGGGACUGCGUCCGAUCAGGCUGUUGGCGGGGUAAUGGCCCACCAAACCUGUAACCGGUACGGGCCUUGAGAGAGGUGGCCCGGAGAUGGACACUGAGAGAAGGGUCCAGGUCCUACGGGGCGCAGCAGGCGCGAAACCUUCGCAAUGCGCGAAAGCGUGACGAGGUUAAUCCGAGUGGUCCCCGCUGAGGGGAUCUUUUGCCGGCUGUAAAUAGGCAGGCGAAUAAGGGGAGGGCAAGCCUGGUGUCAGCCGCCGCGGUAAUACCAGCUCCUCGAGUGGUCGGGGCGAUUAUUGGGCCUAAAGCAUCCGUAGCCGGUUCCGUAGGUCCUCUGUUAAAUCCAACCGCUUAACGGUUGACCUGCAGAGGAUACCGCGGGACUAGGAGGCGGGAGAGGCGGACGGUACUCCGCGUGUAGGGGUAAAAUCCUUUGAUCCGCGGAAGACCACCAGUGGCGAAGGCGGUCCGCCAGAACGCGCUCGACGGUGAGGGAUGAAAGCUGGGGGAGCGAACCGGAUUAGAUACCCGGGUAGUCCCAGCCGUAAACGAUGCUAGCUAGAUGAUUCAUUCGCAAGUCGCGAAUGAAGUGUCGCAGGGAAGCCGUUAAGCUAGCCGCCUGGGGAGUACGGUCGCAAGACUGAAACUUAAAGGAAUUGGCGGGGGAGCA